AAGGCCUGAUGUGUGUGAGAUUACCCGCUGAAUUUAAGCAUAUAAGUAAGCGGAGGAAAAGAAACUAACUAGGAUUCCCUUAGUAAUGGCGAAUGAACAGGGAUCAGCUCAGUGCCAAAUCGGAAUCACUUGUGGUUCUGAAAUGUGGCUUGAAGGCAGUACCAGUGGCAUCGCGGACGAAAGUCUCUUGGAAAAGAGCGUCAUAGAGGGUGAGAAUCCCGUGAGUCGUUCGCCGUUUGUCACGUACGGUCUGCGUUCUAACGAGUCGCGUUCCUUGGGAUUGGAGCGUAAACGGGUGGUAAAUUUCAUCCAAAGCAAAAUAUAUACUCGAGACCGAUAGCACAAAAGUACCGUGAGGGAAAGGUGAAAAGAACUUUGAGAAGAGGGUUAAAUAGUGCCUGAAAUCGUUGAGAAGGAAGCGGAUGCCGCCGUUGCAUAUGCUGAUUGUAGGAUUGCUGCUCGCUCCUGUCUUCUGCUACUCAUUCACAGACCUGGUCGUGUUGAGCAGUUGUUUGGCAGAUGUUAGUGGUGUUUCCUACUUUCAGUCGUCAGCAUCACUGGCUGAGUGGAAAUAAUCCUUGGAUGCUAAUUGGUUCGCUAUCUGUGAAUUGGUUGCUUCCUUGCGAUACUCACUACUCGGUCAGUGAGGAAGUGCGUUUGCUGGUCAACGAGCUUUCUAACUGUCAUUACCCUGCGCUUUUCGAUUCGUCGAGUGGCCAGGAUGUGGCUUUGAGAUUGUUCGCACUUAGUAAUCGCGAUGCUGGCUUCCAACGGUUGCCUCCGGCCCGUCUUGAAACACGGACCAAGGAGUCUAACGUAUGUGCGAGUGUGUGAGUGGCAAACUUAUACGCGUAAUGAAAGUGAGGCCGUAUGGGCCAUGUUGGGGUCACCACCACCGACCUUGAUCUUCGGUGAAAGGUUUGAGUAUGAGCAUAUCCGUUAGGACCCGAAAGAUGGUGAACUAUG
rnacentral:ncRNA from 1 species